rnacentral:lncRNA from 1 species
GAACUUUGACAAUAAGACCAAGCUUCCUAUGUACCUUCUAAUAUGUAAGAUCCAGUCAUAACAUAGUUUUUUUUUUUUUACAGCUUAACUUUAAUGGGGUUUUUUUUUUAAGUUCUAACUUUUGCCUAAGCCAUCCUGUUAAAGAUUUUCAACUUACCGGGUUGCUCUUAAAAGUAGUUUAAGCUCUUACCGAGGAGCAACUAAUCUUCAAG